rnacentral:rRNA from 1 species
AGCGAACGCUGGCGGCAGGCCUAACACAUGCAAGUCGAACGAACUCUUCGGAGUUAGUGGCGGACGGGUGUGUAACACGUGGGAACGUGCCUUUAGGUUCGGAAUAACUCAGGGAAACUUGUGCUAAUACCGAAUGUGCCCUUCGGGGGAAAGAUUUAUCGCCUUUCGAGCGGCCCGCGUCUGAUUAGCUAGUUGGUGAGGUAAAGGCUCACCAAGGCGACGAUCAGUAGCUGGUCUGAGAGGAUGAUCAGCCACAUUGGGACUGAGACACGGCCCAAACUCCUACGGGAGGCAGCAGUGGGGAAUCUUGCGCAAUGGGCGAAAGCCUGACGCAGCCAUGCCGCGUGAAUGAUGAAGGUCUUAGGAUUGUAAAAUUCUUUCAACGGGGACGAUAAUGACGGUACCCGGAGAAGAAGCCCCGGCUAACUUCGUG